UACGUAGGUGGCAAGCGUUAUCCGGAUUUACUGGGCGUAAAGCGCACGCAGGUGGUCAUUUAAGUCUGACGUGAAAGCUCUUGGCUUAACUGGGAGAGGUCGUUGGAAACUAGAUGGCUUGAGGCAAUGAGAGGGGUGUAGAAUUCCUGGUGUAGUGGUGGAAUGCGUAGAUAUCAGGAGGAAUACCAGUGGUGAAAGCGGCACCCUGGCAUUGGCCUGACGCUCAUGUGCGAAAGCGUGGGGAGCGAACGGG
rnacentral:rRNA from 1 species